GUUUAACAGAAAUUUAAAUGGAUUUAAAACACAUGGAGUAAUGGUGGCAAAAAAGUAAACUAUCCUUUUAAAUAUUUUAUUCUGAGACUUAUUUAUAUGUGUCUUGUCUUUUGCCAUAUUGUCUUUCUAGCUCAGAUUGUGAUGAACCUGGAAUGUGACACCAGUUACUCUUAAGACAAGAACCGAAUAAAGCACAGAUGUGGAGGGAUUUGCAGCCAAACUUACUGGAGGGAAGGAACCUUUAGUGUGGGUGAACAUACUCCCUGGAUGUCCAACAAAGGCUGCACAAGAGCUCAUUUGAUAGCACACAUUCUGUCCUGUCUACAUCUCUAAUGACCUGGAAGUGCUUCGACAUCAGAUCAUCAGAAGUGCUGCUGCCCUUUUUCACUGUCCCUUUCCACAUCAUUUGGCCUUCAUCAUGUCUUGUAGCAGUAUUUUCACCUGUUUUUAAAAUUGUAAUAAUUUUUGAUGUAUUAAUUGUUGACUGGUUUUAAUGAUCAAUUGUUUAUUAGUGUUCUGUUGCUUUAUAUUGAAUAAUUGCUACUGUUUUAGCAUGGUUUACACAAUAAACCUUUAUUGUGAAGUUAAAGUUUCAGUUUCUUUAUUUUUCUUGUAUUUCUUGAACAGUUAAAAUAACACUUGUGCAAUUUUUGAACAUUUUUACCCAUUAUAAAGUAGCACUAUUAAAUAAAAUAAAAUAACAUUUAAUAACUGUAAAAUACUAUACAGUAAUAAUGAAAGUAACG
ensembl:processed_transcript